GUGAAUCAUCGAAUUUUUGAACGCAUAUUGCACUAUCUGGUAUUCCGGAGAGUAUGCCUAUUUGAGGGUCAUUUGAAAUAAUAUAAAUUUCGAGAUUUUCUUGAAAUCAAAAAUGGGUCGGUCCAGCUUUCGUGUGGUGGUCGCCUAAAAUGCAAGACAAGCUCAUUUCUUGGGUUGCGUGAUACUUUCAGUUACCUCGUGACUUAACCAGGAAUCAUCGGGCGUGUUAUGAAUUUUGCAAGAGAUAAAAAAUUCCAUAGAUUUAUCUCAUGCGAAAUAGAAAUCGAAUCAUGACCUAAAA
rnacentral:misc_RNA from 1 species